ensembl:lncRNA
GGGAAAGAGAUCCAGUCACAUCUUUCUGAGUUGAAGAAAGAAGCGUUGGAAGCUGGAAAGGUAUCCUUACCCCUUGAUGUGUUGCUCUGUCUCAGCUUCCUUUUCUUCAGUGAUACUUUUCCUUGAAUACGUUCAGUAAUUUGUGUCUUAGUCUUGAAAUCUCCUCCUUUUCCUAUUCCUGUUUGUUUCAUGCAUCUGAAGUACAUAUGUAGUCAUUGGGAUCUGCAGUAUCAGAUCUAGCAUCUCCAGGUAACUGAAGAGAUUCGCUUACCUCUAGAGAUAAACAUCAACUCCACAAUGAAUAACUUUCUAAGAUCUCACUAGAACAUUUAUACACUUGAGACAUUUAUCUUAGUGGCUAAUGGCUUGUAGGAAGUCAUCACUUAGAAGAUGGUGAUAGUCUCAGUUCUGUGCUCCCACUUUAGAGCACAGAAUUUACUGGGAAUUUUAGAUUCACGAAUAAUGUUUUCUUCAGCAGAGAUGAUAAUUGGCAUCAUAAAUUAACUCUGGCACUGCUCCAGCAUACAUUCCUUCCUCAAGUAACUGGAGUGUAUAUUGUACAUUAUAAUGGAAUUUGUAACUUUUACAGGUGUGGUUUAAGUAUCCUUAGUUUUCAAACACCAUGAUCUGGCCUCUUAGAGUCUCCAGAAGGCCUUGUGCAUAGUUCUCAUUCAGUGUGUGUUUAUCUACAAACAAUUUAAGCAGAACUCCUUGGCAGGGUUAUAGUUGCCUCCAUUCAAGGUUAGGGAGUUCAUAUGAGUGAGCUGAAAGUUUAAGGAAGGACAGUGAAAUGGGACCCUUGGGGACUGUCCUAAAUGGGACUAUAGGUUAUCAGAGCAAAUGUUUUCUUAUCCUUGGUGAGGGUCGUCAUGAUCCUGACAACAGUACAGCAGUAAAUACUGCUGGUGAAAGCCUUUAUGUCAGCUUCUGUAGGAACUCUGUAUCUGAUUUGUUGAUGACAACUGUAUCUUGGGCUGCAUCAAAAGUAGCGUGAGCAGCAAGUGGAAGGAGGUGAUCCUGCCCCUCUACUCUGCUCUCCUGAGACCUCGCUUGUAGCACUGUGUGCAGUUCUGGUGUCCUCAACUAAGAAGGACAUGGAGCUGUUGGAGCAAGUCCAGAGGAGGCUGCAAGGAUGAUCAGGGGCUGGAGCACCUCCUGUAUGGAGGCAGGCUGAGAAAGUUGGGGCUGUUCAGACCGGAGAAGAGAAGCCGCGUGGAGACCUCAGAGCAGCUUCCAGUAUCUGAGAGGGGCCUACAAGGAUGCUGGAGGGGGCUCUUCAUCAAGGACUGUAGUGAUAAGGGGUGAUGGGUUUAAACUUAAACAGGGGAAGUUCAGGUUAGAUAUAAGGAUGAAAUUCUUUACUGUGAGGGUGGUGAGUCCCUGGCACAGGUUGCCCAGAGAAGUGGUAAAUGCUCCAUCCCUGGCAGUGUUCAAGACCACGCUGGAUAGAGCUUUGGGUGGCAUGGUCUAGUGUGAGGCAUCCCUGCCCAUGGCAGGGGGUUGGAACUGGAUGAUCUUAAGGUCCUUUCCAACCCAAACCGUUCUGUGAUUCUAUGACUGUACUAUAAUAGGAGUCUAACUUUUCUGGUCUCCACAGUUUGCUAGGUGUUUGUGUCAGCAGAAAUCUGUUUGUAAACCAUUAGCCAAAGCCAGAUCUAAUCCUCAGAUCCAAAGCCUUUGGGUGUUUUCCCAAAAUGGGCAUUUCCCAAACCAUCUUAUUUUGAUUCGCUACACCACCACUUUCAGUAGUUGCUGUAGGAUUAGUAAGAGACAGAGGUCCAUUCUGAAUGACUCAUUUGUAUUUUUCGUUACUGCUCUGAUGCACAUUCUACUUCAUAUGGCCCAAGGAUCAUGACAAAGCUCAGAGAGGGUCUGUGUGUGGUUCUGGUAAUAGCAACAAUAUGGACCCAAGUGGGUUUGAGUCUUGAAUCUAAUGAGCAUGCUCUUCCAGUCGUCCAGCUUGGUUAGAUUUAUGUUCAAAAAACAGAUGGAUCUUUCACCUUUACUAAUAUCUCUGCAUUUGAGUUCACUCCAAUGAGAUGCUGCCUACCUGUUUGCUUAUGACUGAUUGAUUGCUUCACAGGGAGAAACAGUCUAUCAAGCUAGCACAGAGAGUCUAGUUGAAAAGGUUUUCUGUUCAGGAAAGAUGUUGUCUGUUCUUGCCAGGAAAACUAUAUUGGACUGUUUAAUUUCCAUAAACGUGGCAAUAAUAGCUGCAAUAAUAAUGUAUGUGAUGGUGGAGGUAAGCCAUCUGCUUUCUCAAUACAAUCAAUGGAAAGAUAGUAUGAGUCUAAUCUGAAGAGUUAAUGGAUCAACCCUUACAGGUGGAAAGCAACACCUUAUGGGCAGAGCAAGGUGGUGCCGGAUCUCUCUUGAUGUCCUAAACCAUUCUGAAGGCAGAUGCUUGUAGUUCAGGUGGAGACUUGAGGUCAUACAAAGCACAGGCAGGAUCCUGCAUGGACGGUGUAACUUGUCCCAUGUGCUGUUGGAUCUAUGACUCUCUGAUGGGUCUGAUUUCUGAGGCAUGUCUUCAUUAUUGUGUGACUUCAUUGUCAUCCAUUGAUGUGAAAUAAUGAAACUUCUGUUAGAAACAUUGAAUGUAUGUUCUCUGCUAUCUUUGGUGAAAACUUCUUUCCUGAUGCCCCAGGAUUUAUAGAAACAUAUUGUUAAGCUUAAUGGAGAUGAAACUUAUCAAAACAAGGCUACUCUGUGGCAUUACCCA